CACGUAGGUGGUUUCGUGUGUCGAUGGUGAAAUCCUGCAGCUCAACUGCAGAACUGCCAUCGAAACUACGGAGCUAGAGUGCAGGAGGGGUGAGUGGAAUUCCAAGUGUAGCGGUGAAAUGCGUAGAUAUUUGGAGGAACGCCGGUGGCGAAAGCGACUCACUGGGCUGCUUCUGACACUGAGGUGCGAAAGCUAGGGGAGCAAACA
rnacentral:rRNA from 1 species